AGCUAAAAUUGAUUCAAGCAUGUUUCUGGACAGAUAGACCCGAAGUAAGAGAACCUUUAAUAACACCUGGCAUUUGUUUCUCCUGACGUGUUGUUUAUCCGACAGUAGAUGUCACAACUGACACUGUGUGAAAGCCUACACAGUUGCGGAAAUAUCCCAAUUUGCUGGGUUCUGCGUAAAAGGCUAAAUGUAAGCUCUUCUGUUAUGGCCAUUAUGCACUGCUUUUGUGCGAUCUCUGUUUAAAAUAGGGCAUAGUUUACCCCCAAAACGUUGGUUGUUUCAGCAUAUUUAAAUUAUGAGGUUCCACUGUAUGUGGUGUCUUUCAGUCAAACAUUUUUUUAAUCAUGUGCACCUUCAAAGCAGUCAUCCCAGAUAAGUCAUCAUCUGUUACACGAGUUCACAUCAGCAAGGCUCUGGCAUAAAUAAAUCUCGGCUUGCGAGAAGCAAAUAUUUUGGCAGCACUGUUUCGAUUAAGGCGGAGCAAAUAAAUCACAGGCUAACUAUGAAAGCCUGCGCACAUUCCCCAUAACUUUAUAUGUAAAUGAAAACAUCAACGGGGCAGGAUGUGGACGGAUUGUUGGCCGGCAGCUUUCGAGACGGAACAGCCAUGGAGGGGUCACUCUUUUAUAAGGAAACAAUAGUAUCACAGGAACCUCACUCGACCUUAUUUCAGCCAGCAUCAAAGGAUUACCUCAAGCCAGAUAACAUUACUGGGUGACCAAGAGUGGAUUUGUGUAUUUGAAACAAAUAACACCGAGACUCCUUGGCUCUCAAGAACAGGCGCUGGAUUGUGAUGAGUCAUCGGACCCAUAGGUCUUUUUGCCUCGCCCGACACGGGGUCCGCGCCAGGCCUUUGAAAUGAUCCCCAAAACGUCUGGAACGUCGACCGCGCUGCGGUCAGGAACAAGAACCUUGCAUUAGUGCGAAAGAAAGCGAAGGGAGAUACAAACACAUGACGACUCGGGGACUACCGCUCACGUAAUGAGGCCUCAGAUUUGAACGUAUAAGCACUCGGGAGAGGGAAGAUUUAGACUGAAAAGCCCCACAAUCAUACAGGAUUUCUGCUAAGUAAUCCUCAUGGAUUUAGAACAACAAUACAUGAUGUUUCUCAGGAUCAUACAACCAUGUUUCCCUGUUUAUGAACACAGCACAUCAAAACAGUUAUAUUGACACGAAAGAACUCCGUAAAGCCCAAUAUGUGGCCAUAGAAAUGAUCCAAAAACCGGAUAUAAACUCAGAAAAACUAUUCCAGUGAGGAACAAUAGAAGAUGUAUUUAAUUCACACAAAGGUGCCAACAAUUACACCCUAGACACAUGAAAACCAAAAAUAACCAAAAUAGAAAUGUGGACUCUUCUAAACAAUCCUGAUACAAGUUAUGCGAGGGAGCUAACGUGUUAGCCACGGUUAGCAGAGCAAACCGGAAGUAUGAACUGCCAUGACUUAGCAUGAUGUAAUCAAAACGUUAUUCGUUCUAUUCGCUAUUCUCUGAACCGCUUAUCCUCAUUUGGGUCUAUUAUUAAACAUUAAAACAGUGUGCAUACAGAAGAUAAUAGUUUACGCAGUAUGACGAAAACAUGAGCUUACCUUCAAAAACGUCCCUUGGGUAGAGUUUGAAGAUAAACAAACGCCAUUUUGAGUCAUUCAGAUAUUAAAAUGGCUUUAGUUUAGCAAAAUGUUUACAGUUCUAUGAUUUUUUUUAAAUGGCUUUAAAAUGUUCUUCUGUUCAUUUGGAAAACUCUUGCUUCAGGUUUGUAAAGUUUUACAUGACGACGCCACUGGACCCGGAAGUAGUGUAGUUUUCGUUUUAACCAAAAGCGGCAGUAAUGAGACCUCGGUCAACAGACUUGAUUGAAAUUGAACUAACCCCGAUUUAUAUUGAUUAUUUAAGAGUUACUGCCCCACAUAUCUAUCUAUACUUAAGAAUAAACGAAAAUAAACUCUUUUAGUCUUCCUUUUAUUAUGUUAUCAUUACUAUUUUUACUAUUAUUUGUAUUGCAACAGUUUUGAGUUGUUAGAUUUUUCUUUAUCAUUACCACUAUUACUGUUAUUAUCAUUAAUUGCAUUGCUAGAGGUUGUAUUUUUUUUCUCUAUAUCAUCUUUUUGUUGUAUUUUCACAUCAUCUGUGUUAUUAAUUAUUUUCAAAUAAACUACUACGUAUUUGUAUUGCAACAGAUUUUAACUUGAGCGAGCUGUGAUGGAUUUGGACAUUUUUACCUUGGUAUUAUUAUUAUUAUUAUAUGUAUAUUUUUUAUAUUGAUUAUUAUUGUUAUUUUAAUA